rnacentral:misc_RNA from 1 species
UAACAAGGUUUCCGUAGGUGAACCUGCGGAAGGAUCAUUAAAAAAUAGGACUCCAAUGGUGAGUUCAUUAAUAAUCCCUACCCUUUGUGAAUUUGUUUGUUUGAAUAAUUUUUUUCAAAGAAAAUUAUUGAAUGUCUUUCCUGUUUGGUGGAGCUGUAAAGUGGAAACGGCCAGGGGAAUGGCAAACAAUAAUUAUUUUUGAAAAAGACCUUUUUUAAAAUUAAACUUUUUGUAUUCAUUUGUCUAAAAUUAUUUUUAUAAUAUAAAACAACUUUGACAAUGGAUCUCUUGGUUCUCGCAACGAUGAAGAACGCAGCAAAAUGCGAUAAGUAGUGUGAAUUGCAGAAUACGUGAAUCAUCGAAUCUUCGAACGCAUAUUGCACUUUUUUAGUUUACUAAAAAAGUAUGUCUGUUUGAGUUAUCAGUAAAAUAUUCUCAUAAAAAAUUUAUUUUUUAUGGUUAUGAGUGUUUUACAACGAUAAACAAGUUGUUUCACUUUAAAUUCUUUGUUAUCAAAAAAAUCAUUAAAAGCUAAUUUUAAAGAUUUUUUAAAAUUGGAUAAAAUUUUCCCGUAAAAAGGAAUAACCUAAACAAUUUUAAAAAAUUAAAAUUGGUUUGAUUUUUCUUGAUUUAAAAAAGGAAAAAAAGUAAAAAUUAACUUGAUCUCAAAUCAGAUAAGAGUACCGCUGAACUUAAGCAUAUCAAUAAGCGGAGGAAAAGAAACUAACUAGGAUUCCCUCAGUAACGGCGAGUGAAGCGGGAAGAGCUCAAAUUUGAAAUCUUCAAGGUUUUACCUUGACGAAUUGUAGUUUAAAGAAGUGUUUUCUGUUGGAGUUUUGGUAAAAGUUCUUUGGAAAAGGACAUCAUAGAGGGUGAGAAUCCCGUAUUUGACCAUUAUCUCCAGCUUUGUGAUACACUUUCAAAGAGUCGGAUUGUUUGGGAAUGCAGUCCAAAAUGGGUGGUAAAUUUCAACUAAAGCUAAAUACUGGCGAGAGACCGAUAGCGAACAAGUACCGUGAGGGAAAGAUGAAAAGAACUUUGAAAAGAGAGUUAACAGUACGUGAAAUUGUCAAAAGGGAAGCGUUUGACACCAGUGUUGUUUUCUCGAAAUCAAUUAAAAAAGGCCGGAUUUUGUGUUGUAUUGACUUUAUCAGCUUUCUGCACUCUUUUCUUGUCUUUUUUAAUGCACUUUUCGUUUAACAAGUCAACAUCAAUUUCUUUUGUUGUAAAAGGGUCAUUGGAAGGUGGCUUUCUUUCGGAGAAAGUGUUUAUAGCCUUUGGCCUCUGCAAUCGGAGAGAUUGAGGUCUGCAGCGUAGAUCCUUCGGGGUUAGAUACAUUUGUGCUAAGUUAUAGCCUUUCAUAGACAACUUGUCGACUAUGAUCAGUCAUGUAGCUUACUCGCUUAUGCUAUUUACCUACGCUUAGGAUGUGAC